rnacentral:rRNA from 1 species
CCUACGGGCGGCUGCAGUGGGGAAUAUUGCACAAUGGGCGAAAGCCUGAUGCAGCAACGCCGCGUGAGCGAUGAAGGCCUUUGGGUCGUAAAGCUCUGUCCUUGGGGAAGAAACAAAUGACGGUACCCUUGGAGGAAGCCCCGGCUAACUACGUGCCAGCAGCCGCGGUAAUACGUAGGGGGCGAGCGUUAUCCGGAAUUAUUGGGCGUAAAGAGUGCGUAGGUGGCCAUGUAAGCGCGGGGUGAAAGGCAAUAGCUUAACUAUUGUAAGCCUUGCGAACUGUGUGGCUUGAGUGCAGGAGAGGAAAGUGGAAUUCCUAGUGUAGCGGUGAAAUGCGUAGAUAUUAGGAGGAACACCAGUGGCGAAGGCGACUUUCUGGACUGUAACUGACACUGAGGCACGAAAGCGUGGGGAGCAAACAGGAUUAGAUACCCGUGUAGUC